rnacentral:rRNA from 1 species
UCAGCUCGUGUCGUGAGAUGUUGGGUUAAGUCCCGCAACGAGCGCAACCCUCGCUGUGUGUUACAAGUGUCACACGGUACUGCCGAUAUUAAGUCGGAGGAAGGUGGGGAUGACGUCAAGUCAGCAUGACCUUUAUAUCCAGGGCUACACACACGCUACAAUGGCCAGUACAAUGGGUUGCCAAGCCGCGAGGCGGAGCCAAUCCUAAAAAGCUGGCCUCAGUUCAGAUUGCAGUCUGCAACUCGACUGCAUGAAGUUGGAGUUGCUAGUAACCGCAGGUCAGCAAUACUGCGGUGAAUACGUUCCCGGGGAUU